GUGGAUGGACAUUAGGAUGAUUCAUUAGCCUUCUGAAUACGAAGUCCUGUGGUGCCCAUAAUAGGGCCGGGCAAUACGAAGUCCUGUGGUGCCCAUAAUAGGGCCGGGCAAUAACUCCGAGUACGAAGUCCUGUGGUGCCCAUAAUAGGGCCGGGCAAUACGAAGUCCUGUGGUGCCCAUAAUAGGGCCGGGCAUGGAGUUGAGGGAUUUUUGAAUCAGUCCAUCCGUGGUGUGAU
rnacentral:lncRNA from 1 species